rnacentral:tRNA from 1 species
UCCCUGGUGGAUUAGUGGCCGACAUGAGGAACUCUCAUUGCCAGGGCCCAGGUUUGAUUCCUGGUCAGAGAA